GUGUCAGCCGCCGCGGUAAUACGUAAGGACCGAGCGUUGUCCGGAAUCAUUGGGCGUAAAGGGUACGUAGGCGGUUAGAAAAGUUAGAAGUGAAAGGCUAUAGCUCAACUAUAGUAAGCUUUUAAAACUGUUUAACUUGAGAGAUGGAAGGGAAAGUGGAAUUCCUAGUGUAGCGGUGAAAUGCGCAGAUAUUAGGAGGAAUACCGGUGGCGAAGGCGACUUUCUGGCCAUUAUCUGACGCUGAGGUACGAAAGCGUGGGUAGCAAACAGGAUUAGAAACCCUAGUAGUCC
rnacentral:rRNA from 1 species